AGUGAAUGUUCCAUGCCAGAAAGUGAACCACUUCAAGAAUUUGUAGACCAAUAUUCCAUUAGCUCUGCCUUACAACAGUCUGAUAUGGUCCUUGAAUCAACGCCCACUGGAACUUGUCAGGAACCUCUAUCAGAAGACAUCAAAGAUGCCACAGAAGAUCCUAUACUGCAGAAAGAAAGAAAAGGAAGACGAGCCAGAA